UUAGUUGUUUGGGAAGAUUAAUCUGAAAAGAAACAGAGAUAACUGCCACAUAGAAACUAGUUUAGCCUUUGCUACUGAAGUGCAUUUCCCCAUGGUGCUGACAUAUUAAGGCAUGGAGAGUUAGCGACUUGGAACCUAAAAUAAAGGAAGGAAACUUCAAUCAAGGCUGGAACUGAGGUUGCAGCAGUCAGAUAUCACAACUACCUGGCAGCAGAGCGCAGGACUUGGAGGGUUGGUCUAUAUCUGUCAUCUGCUACAGAACCAGGCACCCAGAAGGAGACGAGCUUUCCGAUCUGGUGAUGGAAAAGGACAUGCAGGCUGUGCUCGGCAUGAGAAAGCACCAGCCCACACAGAUUUUGAGCUUCUGGCCAGCUUUGCAGGAAGUAGAAGAUUCUUCCUAUCUUACUGGAGACAGAGAAGCUGAAAUUAUUUAUUUGGCUGGCUUGUACCCUUCUGUUUCUUCCUUAAUUUAUUUAUCGUAUGUUUAUUUGUACUGCUGUUCAAAGCAUUAAAGAAAGGGGAGGAAAACCAUUAAGAAAGAGACAGGCCUUUUCCUGAGGGAUAUUUGGAUUUGUGAAGCUGUUCUUCUGUUCCCCUCAGCUGCAGCAUUCCUUAGCCAGCCUUGCCUCCACAUUUUCCAAACAUUUAAAGAUAUAUUGAGCCACUUUUAUUCUCUCAAUUCAGACGUUUGGGCAGAGCUUGCAAGCUAGCAAAUAAACAUCUGCUCUCUUCUUAAAGUCAGUAGAGAACAGCUGUAUCACAGUUCCUGAAACACUGCUUAGGGCACUGCUGCCCAGGGAUCAGGAAAUUACUUAGCCAUCAGUAUCUUGCUAUGUCAUCUGGGACUUGACAGAUUUUUAGGAUGAACUUCUCUAGCCAGGUCCUGGCCAUUUUGGUGAGGUGAAUGGGGCUGCAUUAGUGUCCUGUUACACACAUGUUCUUUCCACAUCGUAUCCAAA